GCUGUGGUUCAGUGGUAGAACAUCUGCUUUCCAUGCAGAAGAUCCCAAAUAGGACCAGAGGCCCUCCCUGAAACCCUGGGCAGAUGCU